rnacentral:rRNA from 1 species
GACGAACGCUGGCGGCGUGCUUAACACAUGCAAGUCGAACGGAAAGGCCCCUUUGGGGGUACUCGAGUGGCGAACGGGUGAGUAACACGUGAGUAACCUGCCCUUGACUUCGGGAUAACUUCAGGAAACUGGGGCUAAUACCGGAUAGGAAUCCUUGCUGCAUGGUGGGGGUUGGAAAGCUUCGGCGGUUUUGGAUGGACUCGCGGCUUAUCAGCUUGUUGGUGGGGUAGUGGCUUACCAAGGCUUUGACGGGUAGCCGGCCUGAGAGGGCGACCGGCCACAUUGGGACUGAGAUACGGCCCAGACUCCUACGGGAGGCAGCAGGGGGGAAUAUUGAACAAUGGGCGGAAGCCUGAUGCAGCAACGCCGCGUGCGGGAUGACGGCCUUCGGGUUGUAAACCGCUUUCAGCAGGGGCGAAGCUUGUGGUGACGGUACCUGCAGAAGAAGCACCGGCUAACUACGUG